rnacentral:lncRNA from 1 species
UCAAAUUUGUGCUAGGACAACCUUUGCAAUAUAGGGAUAAAUCCUAUACCAGAAUAAUCUUAUAUCAGCAUAAAAUUAAUUUUAAAUUUUUAAAAAUUUCAGAUCUAAUCUAAAAAUCAGAUCAUAUAUGUUUUCAAAAAUCUGUGGCUCUGAUACAAUUGUUAGAAAAUCGGAUAGGCAGCAUAUGUAGAUUUCAAACUUUGAAAAUCGUAGUGGAAAAUAAAUGGAUUAAAUGCUUUAACCCCCAUAUGAAAUAGAUCAAAUCUAAUCCUAUCCAAGCUUAGGAGAAAACACAUACAAUCUAAAAUUUAGAUAUAAAUAUGAGAUAAGAUCUCUUUACCUUAGCGUGGGUAGAUGUUCACUGCUUCUAAUGAUUACGAAUUCGUAGAUGCUCGAGCCACACACAGGUCCGGUCUCUACGAGUAUCCAUCGGGAUUGAUCUCGAACUAAUUUUUUUUAUAGAAGAUUUUUUUUCUCAAGAAGAAUCUUAGUCUUGAACACUUUGAUCAAUAUCUUGAUCUGGACUGCAGGAUCAACUCCUUGAUCAAUAGCUUUCUUUUCCUUCUCCUUAAUCUUCAAUUUCUAAGUCACCAAGCACUACCUCUUGACAUGUAGAAGAGGAGACGCCCAACUCUUGGGUAUGGAAAGGAAGAGAGGGAGGAGAGGAGGUAUGGAGAAGGGAGAGAAAUUUUGUUGACCAAAAAUUCUAUUCACUAGAAAUCCUAGAGACCUCUCUUUAUAUAGAUACUACCCUGACACAUAUUAGGAACUCAAUUAUCUUAAAAAGAUAGAUCUUUAUCUCAUAAAAAUCUUCUACCUUUUUAAUCUAAUUUAUACUAAUUAAAAUUAGAUAUAAAUGAUAUAUAAUCAGCCCCUUUAAGCAUGUACAAGAGGCAUCAUAGGAAUACAUAUCAGAUAGUUGGGGUGCCAACUCUUGGUGCAGUGCCCCACAAUAAGAUUUCUAACCAAAUAAGAAAGGUGCAUGGCCCCACCUCUCUCUCCUCCAUGCCACACAUAAGAAGGGGGCGAGCCCCACUUGCCAAAUCUAGGGGGUUGGCACCCCCCUAGUCUUGCCAAAAAGAGAAUUUUGCGCCUCCCUCUUUCCUUCAAUUCUACGUGCACACUUAGAGAUAAUUAGAAGUAAAGAAGAGAUAAUGUUAAAAUAAUUAUAUCAACUAAUUGACUUAAUCAAAUUCUCUUGAGCCCAUAAUUAAGAGCCCAAUUAAACCAAAAUAGAUUUAGGUUAGAUUCAAGGCUAUAGAUUCGAUCAAAUCGAAGUUCCAGAAAGAAUUAGGUUUAACCGUGUGCUAGCAUGAUUCUCAUAAACCUAAUAGGAUUUAAUAAAUCUGAACCUAAUUAGAACUUCAUAAGCCUAAUUGACAAAUUCGAGAUUAAAUCCCUUAAUAUGUGACCCUAUAGGUUCCAUUCUAUCUGGUAGUGAGAUAUAUUAUGAUCUCCAUCACAAUAUUAUCAAAACUUUUUGAGAUGAAUUGAAAUAUUUCUAAUUCUAUCCUUCGAGGACUAUCGAUCAUCAAGAUGAUGUCCAAUAAGUCUCAUAAUCUACCAAUGACACCUAGUAGUAUGUAGUGACAAUCCAGUAAAAUGAAAAUACGAAUCUUUAGAUACAGUUAUCGUAUGAUUCAGUCCUUCUAUCGUGAGUUCCGACUUGAUGGAGGUCAUGGAGAACUCGUUAGACCCUAUCAUCAAUCAUAUGCUAGAUUGGCUCGAUUCGAGUUCAUUUGUGAAUCCCGUAGAAACUCUUUUUCAGUAUUCAUACUUGCUUUGACUAAAGAUUUUCUGAACUCAAUCUUGCAAAUCACAUAGGACUUCUUCUUUUCUACCAAGAUCGAUAGAUUCUAUCUAGGUGCAUCCUACUCUAAACUGCAAUCUGAAUCUACUGAAGCUAACAUACACAGCAAGGAUCCAAAUGGCUAUGGACCAAAAGAAUAUACAGUCAAACCAAGUAGCCUCGCUGUGAAUAGCCAAUGGUACCGUAGGUCAAAGGACCACUCACACCACUGCAGC